rnacentral:rRNA from 1 species
GAUGAACGCUGGCGGCGUGCCUAAUACAUGCAAGUCGAGCGGUAAGGCCACUUCGGUGGUACACGAGCGGCGGACGGCUGAGUAACACGUAGGAACGUACCCCAAACUGAGGGAUAAGCGUCGGAAACGACGUCUAAUACCGCAUGUGCUCUUCGGAGUAAAGCUACGGCGGUUUGGGAACGGCCUGCGCAUGAUUAGCUUGUUGGUAAGGUAAUGGCUUACCAAGGCGACGAUCAUUAGCUGGUCUGAGAGGAUGAUCAGCCAGACUGGGACUGAGACACGGCCCAGACUCCUACGGGAGGCAGCAGUAGGGAAUCUUCCACAAUGGGCGAAAGCCUGAUGGAGCAACGCCGCGUGCAGGAUGAAGGUUUUCGGAUUGUAAACUCCUUUUAGCAGGGAAUAAGCCCUCGGGUGAAGGUACCUGCAGAAAAAGCCCCGGCUAACUACGUGCCAGCCGCCGCGGUAA